CUUCCAUCACGGCAUUGGCUAUGGCACAAGACACUGGAUUCCCACCAUACUAGAAUUCAAGGAAAUUUAUUUCGAAAGAUAUUUUCAUAAAAAUAAUAUCUGGUGUUUUGAAACAUUGGAGAAUAGUUUUAUCAUAUUAUUUUCUUCACAUAGGAUAAAUAAAUUAGAUUAUUUCUAAAAAUAUACAAGAUUUAUACGAAUUUUCCAACUACGGAUUACUUCAUAGAUAAAAAAAUGUAUGAAAUUUCAAAUCAAUUGCAACAUUGUAAACAAUAAAAAAUAUUAGUUGGAAUAUUAACUAAGGAGAGCAGCAUGUUUCAUUGCAAAACAAUUACAUUAGACGAUAAGAAGAUCAUAAAUCAUGAAUCACCUGAUAAUUUACAUCAAUAUCAUUAUUUAUAGAAAUGUUUCAUAAUGAUUUCAAGGAAAACACAUUCUGACAUUUAUCUAUAAAUAAAUAAAAAAAAUAUAAUAAUGGAACGGAUAUGAAAAAUCAUUAAAAAAAAUUAAAAAACAAAAAAAUUUUUUAAAAUUAAAAAAUUUAAGUUCUUACCGUAUUGAAGUAUUCGAUUCCACUGUUUUUGAAGCUUUCAGCAAUGGCUGGAGUCGUAAUCACGGCCGCCACCGGAUGCCCAUUGCCCAUAGGUUUACCUACAGUGACUAUAUCCGGAAUCACGUCUUCACCAUAAAGUUGAAAGGCCCACAUGUGGCUACCAACCCUUCCAAAACCAACUUGAACCUCGUCCGCGAUGCAAACACCACCAAUAUCUCUUACAUAUCUAUAAUUCAAUUAAUUAUUAUUCCAUUAAUUAUUCCAUAAUUAACGUUAUCGAUAUAUAAUAAAGAUAUUCAAUAAUUCAAAUAA